UACAGAGGUCCCAAGCGUUGUUCGGAUUCACUGGGCGUAAAGGGUGCGUAGGCGGUCGGGUAAGCCUGACGUGAAAUCUUCAAGCUCAACUUGGAAACUGCGUCGGAUACUAUUCGGCUCGAGGAAUGGAGGGGAGACUGGAAUUCUCGGUGUAGCAGUGAAAUGCGUAGAUAUCGAGAGGAACACCAGUGGCGAAGGCGAGUCUCUGGACAUUUCCUGACGCUGAGGCACGAAAGCCAGGGGAGCAAACGGG
rnacentral:rRNA from 1 species